AUUGAACGCUGGUGGCAGGCUUAACACAUGCAAGUCGAGCGGGGUGAUGGUGCUUGCACUAUCACUUAGCGGCGGACGGGUGAGUAAUGCUUAGGAAUCUGCCUAUUAGUGGGGGACAACAUCUCGAAAGGGAUGCUAAUACCGCAUACGUCCGACGGGAGAAAGCAGGGGAUCACUUGUGACCUUGCGCUAAUAGAUGAGCCUAAGUCGGAUUAGCUAGUUGGUGGGGUAAAGGCCUACCAAGGCGACGAUCUGUAGCGGGUCUGAGGGGAGGAUCCGCCACACUGGGACUGAGACACGGCCCAGACUCCUACGGGAGGCAGCAGUGGGGAAUAUUGGACAAUGGGGGGAACCCUGAUCCAGCCAUGCCGCGUGUGUGAAGAAGGCCUUAUGGUUGUAAAGCACUUUAAGCGAGGAGGAGGCUCUUUUGGUUAAUACCCAAGAUGAGUGGACGUUACUCGCAGAAUAAGCACCGGCUAACUCUGUGCCAGCCGCCGCAGUAA
rnacentral:rRNA from 1 species